rnacentral:rRNA from 1 species
GAUGAACGCUGGCGGCGUGCCUAAUACAUGCAAGUCGAGCGAACAGAUGAGGAGCUUGCUCCUCUGACGUUAGCGGCGGACGGGUGAGUAACACGUGGAUAACUUACCUAUAAGACUGGGAUAACUUCGGGAAACCGGAGCUAAUACCGGAUAAUAUAUUGAACCGCAUGGUUCAAUAGUGAAAGACGGUUUUGCUGUCACUUAUAGAUGGAUCCGCGCCGCAUUAGCUAGUUGGUAAGGUAACGGCUUACCAAGGCAACGAUGCGUAGCCGACCUGAGAGGGUGAUCGGCCACACUGGAACUGAGACACGGUCCAGACUCCUACGGGAGGCAGCAGUAGGGAAUCUUCCGCAAUGGGCGAAAGCCUGACGGAGCAACGCCGCGUGAGUGAUGAAGGUCUUCGGAUCGUAAAACUCUGUUAUUAGGGAAGAACAAAUGCGUAAGUAACUAUGCACGUCUUGACGGUACCUAAUCAGAAAGCCACGGCUAACUUCGUG